rnacentral:tRNA from 1 species
GCUCUGGUGGGGCAAUGCUUGAGCGUUCAGCUGCUAACUGAAAGAUUGGUGGUUCAAACCCACCCAGUGGCU